rnacentral:tRNA from 1 species
GCGCCCUUAGCUCAAUGGAUAGAGUGCCUGGCUUCGAACCAGUAGGUUGGGGGUUCGAAUCCCUCAGGGCGCACCA